rnacentral:rRNA from 1 species
UACGUAGGGGGCUAGCGUUGUCCGGAAUCAUUGGGCGUAAAGCGCGUGUAGGCGGUUCGGUAAGUCCGCUGUGAAAGUCGGGGGCUCAACCCUCGGAAGCCGGUGGAUACUGCCGAGCUAGAGUACGGAAGAGGCGAGUGGAAUUCCUGGUGUAGCGGUGAAAUGCGCAGAUAUCGGGAGGAACACCAAUGGCGAAGGCAGCUUGCUGGGACGGUACUGACGCUGAGACGCGAAAGCGUGGGGAGCAAACAGG